UGUUGAUUUAACUGAUUUUGAUGGAUACAAUCACAUGAUCCUUGAACUAGAAAAACUCUUUAAUAUCGAAGGCAAGUUGCAUAUGCACAGUCAAUGGAAACUAACCUUUAAAGUUCAUGAAGGAGAUAUGAUGCUUGUUGGAGACGAUUCAUGGCUGAAAUUUUGCAACACCGUGAAGGAAAUAUUCAUAUGUUCAAAAUAAGAUGCCAUAAAAUGAAAUUUGAGAACCAAUUCUCUAAAGGUGACUCAGCAUUUACAAAAAUAAUUUCACCGUCCGAUGUCGAGACAGUCAAAAAGGGGUUUUGUUACUUUUAAUGCGUUUUUAUAUAAUACUAGGGUUUGAUCUCUGUUCACCCAGAUAUUUUACUUUUAUUUAACAUUUGUGUUUAACUUGAAGAGUUUGGUUUUAUAUUAUGUGUGAUAUUUAUUAUUGUGAUUGCUCUUCUUUACUUUUAUCAACUCUUUUCAUUGAACUUAUUUGUUAUAAGGAGAUUAAGACUCAGUUUUGUUGUGUUUACUAAAUUGCCUUAUACAAUUACUGAGAUAGUUUGAAUGGGACUAUGUUCUGUUUUUAUUUUGGCGAUAGAACUUUUAAUCAUUUUCUUAUUUUAAAUCAUCUAGUUUCAUGUCUGCUCUUAUUUGUUUUUGGUAAGUUGUUUUAUAUUGCAUUCUUUCGAAUUGUGCAACUAUAUAUUUUUAUUUCCAUAUCAAUAUUGGAAUUAUGGUUGAGUUUUUUAAAAAAAAAUUAUGUAUGUUACCUUACAAUUUAUUUCUAUACAAUAACUGUUGAUCUCUUAUUUCUGUCAUGUAAACAAACUUUUAGUUUGUUUGUAGUACUAACAUAUGGUUAUUAACAUUUACCAACUAAGCUAAUGGAGAUUUUAGUCAAAAAUAGUUGAAAUAUUACAUAUUAUUUUCAAGGCUGGAAGCACAUGCUACCCAGCUUCUAUCCAGGGCCGACACUGCUUACAUCGUGAUGAAAAUCUUGUGUAGGUUUAUUCUCUAUUAAUCUAUGUAAUUGUUAAUAAAUCAUUUCUCUAAGAUUCGAAUCCAAAAUAUUGAAACGUAAAAAAAAUUAAUGACUUCAUAACUACUGGAGUAAAAAGACUUCCAGUAGAUAUAGGUUGCGGAUACUGAAACUAGAAAUGUUCAACGUAAUUUGGUUCUCCCAUGUGAUUGAGGCCAUCUGAUUGAGAGACUGGUUAGAUAAAAACUGUUAUCUUUGGUACAGUCAAUGAACUUAAUCGAUUUUUUUUUCUUGAUCUGAGUAGGAACAAGAUCGAAGAUAUUUCUAAAUACAUGAACGUUUAAGUGGAAGAGUUGUGUAAGAGAGUUGACGUGCUCACCAGGCUUCACUAUGCCUCAUCAAAAUCAAUGCCAUAAGCUCUGUUCUUUUUUUUUUAAUUUAUGCUUUCUUGAGUUUAAAGUCUUUUGAUUUGUUAGCAUCAUCUUCUGAAUGGAUUUAGGUAUUGGCUUUUGUAAUAACUUGGCUAUGUUGUUUUGUUUCUUAAUCAAACCGACUCUGUUUUUAGUCCUUUACAUAGAGAAUCAUGAAGAUAUAAAACAUAAUUGUGAA